rnacentral:rRNA from 1 species
GUCGAACGCUGGCGGCGUGCCUAAUACAUGCAAGUCGAACGAACUCUGGUAUUGAUUGGUGCUUGCAUCAUGAUUUACAUUUGAGUGAGUGGCGAACUGGUGAGUAACACGUGGGAAACCUGCCCAGAAGCGGGGGAUAACACCUGGAAACAGAUGCUAAUACCGCAUAACAACUUGGACCGCAUGGUCCGAGUUUGAAAGAUGGCCUUUGUGCUAUC